rnacentral:sRNA from 1 species
UCCUAAACCUGACAGCAGCGAAAAUCCUUUUUGUUUGCAGCAACCUUGAAUAUUCCAUAUCACAAAAAGAUUGAAGCGAAUGGCAGGGCAGCAG